rnacentral:lncRNA from 13 species
UUUCCAAUUGGAGUUUUUUGACUUGUUUUUCAUAGGGAUUGGUGUACAUAAUCCAGGCUGGUGUGGAUUUGAUGGUGGUCAUAAUAUUUGCAAAGAAGACAGACAGAUCCCUGGAAAUCUCAUCAGAGAGGGUGGAGAAGAUGGGGGAGAGGUCUUGCAGGAUGUCAGGAUUUGAGCAUCUCAGAUACCCUGCAAACCUCUUC